CAAACAUAAUGAAAGGUGCAGUGCACAUUUUUGUUUGGCAACAUAUGUACAGUAAAUCUGGCCCUCAGCAUAAAUGUCCAGCUGCCAAAGCUGUGGUGUCACUGGUGUUGAACACUGUGUUAACAGGAUGUGUAAUGUGGUGUGCUGCUCCUGUGCUGCAGCCAGGGCUGGGUGGCAGCAGCACUGUAGGCUACAGUAGGGUGGUUAUCAUGAAGCAGUUAUGUAGCUGCUCUGCUGGGCCAGUCUAAUUACAGGAGAACAGCGUGCACCAGUCUGGGCCUCCAAAUGGCACCAUAUGUUUUCCCAGACUAACCGGCUGAAUAAAUGCCAUUUAACCAUUCAGGAUGCACUGUGCUCUGUGUCUGGAAAUCAGUCACUCACACUUAUAUAAAACCAUUCAUCCCGCACCCCCACAUGCACUCACACAAAAACAUACCACCCACCUCUGCCAUAUAAAACUCAGAUGUCGGCCAUUUACCCUGCUUACCCCAUCAUGCAUACUCACACAGCAUCCUGUCCCGUUUAACCAUUUACAAAUCCUAUUGUAAGUUUGUCUGUGUCGCUCUAACACACUCAUUGCACACUUGCAUAAUGAUGUUCUUUAUUUUGUUGUAGCUAGUUUAGUUAACUAAAGGGUCUAGUUAAUCAGAAACAGUGUUUCUAAGAAGACAGCAACAGGUUUAGGGUGAUGUCCAGUGAGUGACCCAUGCAGUGAAUGUGAUCAGUAAGUUGACAUGGGUCGACACAGGUAGGAAACAAAAGAGCAGAAAUACUUCUUUAAUUUAAGCAAUGCUUUCUGCUAUUCUGCUAAUGCCAUCGUUUAUUGAAAGCCAGUGCAAAUAUUGGCAGCCCAAGACGAAAAUAAAAAAUAAAAACAUAUACAGGGCUUUAGAUACUAAUCUCCAGAUCAGGAAUCUUGUAUUAAAAUUAUUUUUAAAAAUAGACUUUGCAAUGUAUUCCCCAACCAAAAUUCACUGGCAAAACCACACAACAUCGCUGAUAAUAGGAAAUUAUUCAUUGUGAUUGCGAAAAGCUGACAACAUUUGUAUCAUGACCUUUUUUUGGGAAAAGCUCCCUCUAUCAUCACAAGAUAGACCUUUCACACAUCAUCAGUUUGUUAAUGAGAACAGCCUAGAAAGAGGCACUCACAGAUGCCUAUCAAGGGCAGAAAACAAAAAGAGAAUGUAAGUAAAUAUGGACUGUAAUUAGUAUGACAAGGUUGAAAAAACAGAUAACACACCGCAGCAGCCUGAAGGGCUACACUUCCACACACGCGCAUGCACAAACACACUUGCACAUGCACGAGAUGCACACAGGCAUCUGAGUUCACACUUACACACACACUAAGAACAAAUCAAAUGUUUUAAUCAGCUUGCUACAGCACAUAAUGAGGAUCCACUAAGCUCCAGCUAUCAGCUGCCAUCGGCCACUUCGUUGUGCCUUCAAAGAGCUGAUUUUUCACUUCUUCUACAACAAGCUUAACACAGUAGCUUUCGAAAGUGAACACAGUCUGGGCACUGCAAUAAAACCUGAAAAAAGUAAGUGAUGUUUCAGCAAGUGAUAUAUGUGCAGUAAGGCAAAGAAGCAAUUAUGUGCAAGUGGACACGACAGCAAAACCUCUGGGGAAAAUGCGUAGGAGCGGAAUGCACCCUGUUUGUCACCAUUGUGAUUUACAACAUGCAAAUAUUAGAGCAUAGCUGUAUGUGGGCUUGGUAGAGAUGAAAGUCUGUGAUAUGCAACUCUGCAAACCAUAAAUCUAACAAUACAUGCUUAAAUACUUUGCAUAACCUAACUCGCUAAAGUAUGCUAACAGAUAGAAUAUCAGUUUACCUCUCACCUUGAGCGUAAACACACACAGACACCUGGUGAUGCAGCGUACACCUGGCCUAGCCACACCUGCUCAACAAGGCGAUCAGAUGAAUCAGUCAAUUCAUUAACACACAGCACAGUUUCCACAGAACUGAAAGUAUUCUUAAAUUCUUACUCAACUAUUCAGGUAUGUGCCUGCGAGACAGAAAUGUACACGCAGAGAUGCACAGAGCGUGUGCAGGUGUGCCUCCUGUUGCGGUUUCUGGCCUCCUGACACAGCUCUGACCUCUGUGAGAAAGACUUACAGCUCCAGCCCUCCAGCUGGAGAAGUGAUGACCCAAGAACCCAACAAUCUAAGACACUCGUCCUCUUGUCCUUGUGUCCUUCCUGCCUGCCUGCUGUAGUGUGUCUUGAAUGGGAGACAUGCAGAGGUACCCCUGAGAGUCAGCGGUCUGAAGCAUUUAAUAAAGAUUCCUGUAAUUUAACACUGAGUAUUUUGAAUUGAGUAUAUUUUCUUCCAUGUAAAAACAUGUGCUGUGCUCUUGCUUAACUCAUAAGAGAAACUGAAAACUGAGGAGAAGUAAUUUUUCUGUUAUGGAGCUUGCGUUUCCCUAUAAGGAGGAUGGCCUUAUGGGUAAAUGGUGUGACGUCAGUUCAGCAUUGUGGUACAUGAGGGUGUGUUUAGCACGAGAAGUGUCAUUAACAGUUUUGAUCCACAGAUAUAUCUUGUCUAUAUAUGCCUAUAUUUCAGUCCUACAGCUUUCUAAAUGUGUGCUCUGUUCUCUGUUUGAAACCUAAAAAACAAGUAAGUGUAGGCCUUAUCUGUGCACAGUUAAACAGUUAGGUUGUUUGAACAGAAAUAAAUGUCGCUGCCUAUUCCAAAUAAAUGCAUAUGGUAAAAAAAAAAAGUGAAAAAUAUGUGACAAGCCAUAGAUGCUGUAGUUAAGGGUCAAGUUUGAUUUCAUACCAUCUUUAAUAUGUGUUGACGUACUUGCAUCUCAUUCAUUUCUGUUUUGCACUUAAAGACUGUGUAAAAUAUAAAUACCAUAUACCCUUGAGCAAAUAUGCUCCAACUAGCAUUAAGAAAAGCUGUCCCAUCUGCAGCAGGGGUUGCCAUACAUGUCAAACGUAAAGCAGGGAAACUCAAGCCUCUGUUGAAACAUCCGGUGCAGGCUGCUGUAAAAUAAAUGAUGCUGUUAGCUGCAGUCUCGCAGGUGAAAUGUGCUGCUGCUACAAUUAUUCUAAUGCCAGCAUGCCAGAAUGCUAGUGCUACCAAAUGCUGCUGUCAACCCAGGGGUUUAAUUAGUUUGGCACGUGUGCCACUUAUAAUCACCUGCCAUUACCAGUUCUGGCUGCAUCUGCUUACACGUCUGUCAGUGGCGGGUAGGCUGUAUGUGUGUGUGUAUAGGUCUGUGGAUGGGUUCAUAAGGAUAUAUUUUGGCAACAGAAAACAGGCCUGAAUGGUUGCUGUACUUGCACGGGCUCUCUAUAAUGUCUAUAUUUUAAUAUACGGACAUAAGGAGGAGACAGAUAACUACAAAAUACAGGAGUCCUUUCUUUCAAGUGUAUAUUAAAAGGCUUUCUAGAGUAUCUGUCAACUACAGCGAGGACAAUUUUAUUAGUGGUACAGACUUGUCAGUAGGCCAUCUGUACACAUACAUUGUGAAAACAGAAGGGAGCAAGGCUUGGUAGUGUCAAACUGCAUUGUGAAUAGAGCUACACCUCAGGCUGAAUACAUCACAUUGUGAUUUCAUGAGAGCUGGAAGAGGAGGAAGAAGAAAAAAACUUCAGGGCAGCGAGUGAAUCUCGACCCAAAACAGGAGAAAUGGAAGUUAAAA